rnacentral:lncRNA from 1 species
AUACCUGCUUUGACAAAACCUAGUAGACCUAAGUUAUUGGAGAAAUAGUUUGCAAUAUUAUGCUUAAUGUUGUAUAUAUGUCCAGCUGUAAGUUGAAUAUACUGAGUAUCUAAUGUCUGUCACAGUGAGUUCCAUAUUAUAUUUGGACUUAAUAAAGAUUUUAAAGCCUAUGAGCACAAAUAAAUUAAAAUGUCAAAACUAUUUUCUUUCACAGUUGAUUUGAGUUUAUAAGCUAUCGUUUGACAGCUGCUUCAUCUGGAAAUUGGGAACUGAAAUCUGCUGCUCCUGUAGUUAGCAAUUCUGGAUUUGCAUUGGCUGAUUCACCAAUCCUUAUGGGAGAUGUAUAGCCAGAAUCUGUAUCAGACACCUUGUAUGGAGUAGGAGAUGCUCCUAGCAACCAGGAUGAAAGGAGGCGAAAAGCCAAGUGGCAGGAUAUAUGCUGACAAAGCUGAGAAGAUGACAAUCACAGAAGAAAAUUGGACACAGCAGAUCUUUUCAUAUGGAGAAGAAUGAGUGAUAAAUGAGGUUUCUGUGACACAAAGAGGAUGGAAACACAGUUGGACGUUCAUGCAGAAAUUAUGCUCACUGUACGAAACAAAUAGAAGAAUAAGAGAUAUCUAAUUUGCAUUUCUUACCAACAAAAUGAAUAUGGAGACAUCCUCUGAAACAGAUGGCAGAGUUGUCAAC